CUGCAUGCAGCCCCAGCCCUACAGAGGUCCUGCUGGUUCCCUUGGUCUCACCCCAUGAGGCAGUACCAAGUCUCUACGGUGGGAAGUUAUGGAGUGAAAGGCUCCAUCCACUGCUUAAGUGUAGACAGCACCGUCCUGCUGCUUUCCGCAGGUUGGCCUGAGCUGCUGCUGCUGCUGCACCACGGAGCCGCAUGGCUGUGGAAGCCCACGUGCAACAGAGCGGGGACCUGCAGCAGCACGGAGCCGCGAGCGGUGCCCCGUGCGCCUUCCCUGCUCGGUAUUUGCAGCCCUAUUUGCGAGCCAGACUGGGGUCGACCCAGCAUCCCGUGGCCGACGGCCUUGGAUGCGUUUUGCAAUCGCCUCCGCUUUGCACCAACUUGAGGAAAACCGGGAAAAGGUGAAAAGCAACGAAGCUGGCUCCCACAUUGUUCGUUUCCAAAUGAGAUAGCAAAGCUGCCGCUCCGGUCCGCAGGGGCACCGUCUGCCAUGAGUCAGCAAGCAGCCAGAUUUACUGCCGAUUGAUUAAAUUAGCAUUUGUUACAAGCCAGAGAGGGAGGCUGAGGGAGAAAUCCUCUUCACGGCUCCUGAAUUAUUUAUGCCCUAGAAGCCUCCGGCGCAGGCUGCAACGUACCCACGCGGGGACAUGCUGGAACCUUGUAGUGCCCCACAUCCCCCGACAAAGCUCGGCAAUAGGGUUGCAAUAGGGUUGUCCUGCGUGCAUGGGUUCGUCGCUGCCGUGCCGCUCCAGAGGACAUCUUGCUCCCCUUGUUUUGGCGACGGGCUUUGUUCUCCCCAUAAUGGUGUGAUGGAUGGAAGGGAAGCACCGCUGUAUUUUAAACGCCCUGCGUCCGAUGCAUCGUUUUUUAAUCGUGUCAGAGUGACUGUAGGUUUGUGCAAGGAAGGGAAGGCAGCACUGGUUUUGCUCUGCUCCCUUGGCAGGAGGCCAAGCAUGGGGGGGGGGGAGGGGGAAAACAAAGCUGAAUUCCCACCAAUUUGAUGUGAGAUCUCUUUCCUAGGCACUGAUAAUUAAUCUGGAUGGAGUCAGCCAGGCGCCCUGAAACCUCGGCGCAGCCUGUCUCCAAGUGCAGCACUCAAGACUUGAGGCAGUGGGCUCAGGACACGACCAAUAUCCCCUGUGACAACACCAUCAGGAUGUGUUUCCUGGCUUGACCAUGUGUGAGCCCCACAGCCUCUCGCAGGGGAGAGAAGAGUUGAGAAGAGCAGAACAGUGCUGUCCCAGGACAGAGGACUGCCAGCACACCUGCCCUGGAGAAUGAAUUUAGAACAGGGCUUUUUCCUUGCAAAGGCUGUGGUGCAUCUCCUUGAUACAGUGAAUCCAUACUGAUGAAUGGGUGUCCGGAGCCCUUUCCCAGCCAGCCUGUGAAAAUUCCUGGACAACAUCAUGCUGUGAAGCUCCAGGUCUUUGCUGUCACAGGUCGGAGGAAUGCCAAGGCCACGUCUGGCAGGCAUCAGGGGACCAGCCGCAGCCGCCCCCAGAAGCAGCAUGAGCCCCGGAGCCAGGCACAGCCCUCCCACGUCUCCUUUGUGCCUCAAGACGCCCGGCCCCGCACCCACCCCCCAAGGGCUGCUUUCCCUGUUGAUAAUCCAUUAUCUACAUUUAAUGCCUCGCUGACGUCCUUCCCUUUGUCUGAUGGUGAAACCUCGACCAGAUGUGAAGCUUCUUAUGUUACUAAUGGCAAAUCCUUUUGCAAUAGCUGGUUGGAAAAUGGGGAAACUGUUUUCAUGAAGUGAAAAUUGAAACAUUGGAGUAAUUUUCAUUCUGCAAGCCUCACAAAGGAGUGGUUUUUAUUUGAGGUCAUUUCUAUUUUUUUUUUCCAGAAAAAAAGCUGUAGCUCAGAAGAUGAGUUUGUGGUAGCGCUCUCACCACUGAACAUUUCUGCUGUCCCAGUGCAGUUCCUAUUACUCUCGUGUUCCACUUCUGAAAAAAAAUGAAGUGGGGGAAGGGAGGUGGCACAGCCCAGGUCUGCAGGCUGCCUGAUGCCUUGCUGGGGCAGCUUAAGGCUUGGGAUACAGCCUGCCCUGGGCAGAGCCAUGAUAGCUGGAGCAGCGAGUCCUUGCCCUGCUGACAACUUAAAGAGGGUCAGCCACAACCCCCCUAUAAAGCAGAGGUGGUAAGGUGUGGCUGAGGAUGGCUCAAUCGUUUGCUGCCUCUCUGAGCAGUGUCCCCAGUAAGCUAUGCAGUGGGAGCGCCUGGGUGAAGAGCAGAAAGCACCCCUUGGUGCAGCGCGUGUUGGUGGGAGAGCAGACAGGCAGCAGUACCCAAACAAAGCCCUCGAGGGUUUGCAGAUGGAGCCAUGGUGCUGCAGGCUAGGAUCUAAACUGAGACCCCCAGGCUACGGGCAUGCAGCUAACACAGCAUGCAGCCCCUUUCUGGAGAGCGACAGCACUAGCAGGGC
rnacentral:lncRNA from 1 species